AGCCGAAACGGGGCGCGGCCCCGUCCUGCAGGGAUAGCCGCCUGCAGCCGAUGAUGGCAGGCUAAA
rnacentral:hammerhead_ribozyme from 1 species